AACCUGUCUUUCCAUUGUUUCUUACUACUAUACACUAAUUGUUUUCACAGAUUGAAAGGCCUCUGCAAAGACAUGAUGGUAUGCUUGAACACAAUGAGACACACUCUAGAUGGCCUGAACUUGCCCUGAAGUUAAAGAUGAAAAUGGCCCAAAAUCGAAGCUGAUUUUGAUUUUGUAGUGUUUGAGUGUGCUGAAAGACAAGGAAGAAACUAAGGUGGAGCUGUACAGGUAUUGUUUGGCCUGUUUAGUUCAAGAAAAGAAGGCAUUGUAAUGUCGACGUAAUGUAAUGUCGGAGUAAGGAUUGGGAACCACGUACCCUUGGUUUCUUGAAAUGUAAUGUCGAUGCUGCUAUCCAUUCCACUAGUGCGACCUUUGGUGCGGUUCUUCGUGACCAUGAGGGUCUCUCUGUGGCGGCGCUAACUGGGCAACUGCAUUGUUCUCAGGAUCCCUAUCUAGCAUAAGCUUUGGCUGUGAAGGAGGCGCUUUCAUCGAUCAAGUCGCGUCCGGAGAAUAGAACUUUUAUGGAAUCAAACUGUCUAAAUUUUUGUUCAAAUUUUAAUUCUGUUAGACAAGAUUUUUCUAUUGUUGGUUUAGUUACUAAGUAGUGUUGUUUGAUUGCUUGUGACAUUCGGAACGGUUUGGUUCGUCAUGUCAAUAGGUCAACGAAUCAUGUGGCUCAUGUGUUAGCACGGACAACUGAUUCUUCCUUUGUCAUUAGGGUGUGGGAGUCUAUCCCACCUAGUUGUAUUUCGCAAUUGGUUUUGAUAUAAGGUAUUCCUUUGAUUUUUAUUU